GAUGAACGCUGGCGGCGUGCCUAAUACAUGCAAGUCGAGCGAACAGAUAAGGAGCUUGCUCCUUUGACGUUAGCGGCGGACGGGUGAGUUACACGUGGAUAACCUACCUAUAAGACUGGGAUAACUUCGGGAAACCGGAGCUAAUACCGGAUAACAUAUUGAACCGCAUGGUUCAAUAGUGAAAGGCGGCUUUGCUGUCACUUAUAGAUGGAUCCGCGCCGUAUUAGCUAGUCGGUAAGGUAACGGCUUACCAAGGCAACGAUACGUAGCCGACCUGAGAGGCUGAUCGGCCACACUGGAACUGAGACACGGUCCAGACUCCUACGGGAGGCAGCAGUAGGGAAUCUUCCGCAAUGGGCGAAAGCCUGACGGAGCAACGCCGCGUGAGUGAUGAAGGUCUUCGGAUCGUAAAACUCUGUUAUCAGGGAAGAACAAAUGUGUAAGUAACUGUGCACAUCUUGACGGUACCUGAUCAGAAAGCCACGGCUAACUACGUG
rnacentral:rRNA from 1 species